CCCAAAACUGGACACAGUACUCCAGAUGAGGCCUCACCAAUGUCGAAUAGAGGGGAACGAUCACGUCCCUCAAUCUGCUGGCAAUGCCCCUACUUAUACAUCCCAAAAUGCCAUUGGCCUUCUUGACUGUUGACUCAGUGUGGAUGAUUUCUGUCUGGCGUCUCUGUCCCAAGAGAGAUCAACCACGAUCAAACAAAGAGCACAAACAAACCCCUUCCUCCCCUCCCCCCACAAGAUUUGAAAGAAUCUUGUCCCCUUAUUGGUCCUUUGGGUCUGGUGCCAGCCAGGUUAGCUGAGCUGCUUAACCCUUUACAGGUAACAGGAUGUUGCCUCUGGCCAGGAGGGAUUUUAUAGCACUGUAUACAGAAAGGUGGUUACCGUUCCCUUUAUAUUUAUGACAGAAGGUUACUAGGUAAAGGCAAUAUGUAAUGCUAAGCCUACAUAGGUAGAUAUUUUGAGAGUUGAAACCUGACAAAUCACAGAUAUUAGAUAUUUUCAAUUCUAUUAAAACAUAUGUAAUUCUAUAAACAUGAAUUCAUUGAAAUUGCAGAUUUGUGUAAAUAUGUAUGCCAGUGCCUAACAGGCUUUUAUAAAAUGAGAAAUAUGUAUCUUACAUGCUGUAAAUGUAUGGUAUUAACUUUGCAGUCACCAUAAUGUGUAAUGACAGUUUCCUUCCUUUGGGAUUGUCAUUGCAAGAUAAUACAGGAUUUCUUGGUGAAACUUACAAGAUCUUAUAUUCUUUAACUGAUAUUUGUGUUUCCCCUGUACAUAUUUCACCUUUUCAUCAAAACAGUGGAUGGGUUAUAUACAGUAAUUGGUCAUAUACAGUAAUUCAGUGUCAGUUUUUCUAGCAGUUUUCUUAAUGUCUGCAUUUUUUCCAAUAAAUGCAGUAUUCUCUCCCAUAGAGGAAUGCCAUGAUUAAGAGUGUGAGACUUCUGUAUUCCUUUCUUCUGAGCUUCACACAAUGAAUAAGAAGCAUUAAGGGCUGACAAAGUAAUGAAUCUUUUACAGAUUCUGAAUGCUCAGUUCUAGAACGUGUUGUUGCUUAUUACUAAGCAUGUAUAAUUAGAUUUUAACCUGUUUGAUUUUCACACAUUAUGAAAGCAUUAGAGCUUUGAGCAUUGGAAGGGCUAAUACAGGGGCGGGCAAACUUUUUGGCCUGAGGGCCACAUCAGGUUUCCAAAAUUGUAUGGAGGGCCUGUUAGGGGAGGCUGUGCCUCCCCAAACAGCCAGGCGUGGCCCAGCCCCCACCCUAUCCAACCCCCCCUGCUUCUUGGCCCCUGAUGGCCUCCCGGGGACUCCUGCCCCAUCCACCAUCCCCUGCUCCCUGACUGCCCCCUACUGCCCCAUCCAACCCCUCCUCUCAUUCCUGACUACCCCAUCCAACCACCCAUUCUCCCUGUCCCCUGAUCACCCCCAGAAUCCCUGCUCCUGACUGCCCCCAGCUGCGCCAUCCAACUCCUCCUCUCCUUUCUGACUACCCCCACCCUGGGACCCCAGCCCCCAUUCAACCACCCUGUUCCCCACCCUCUGACCGCCCUGACCACACCUCUGACCAUCCCUUCCACUCUAUCCAACCCCCCCCCCGCUCCCUACCCCUUACUGCGCUGCCUGGAGCACCGGUGGCUGGCAGCGCUACAGCCGUGCCACCCCGCUGGAGCCAGCCACCCAUCGUGCAGCACAGAGCACUGGGUCAGGCCAGGCUCUGCAGCACAGAAGCUCGCCGCCCAGAGCAUUGCGCCGCUGGCGCAGUGAGCUGAGGUGCAGGGGAGGGGGGAACAGUGGGGGAGGGGCUGGGGCGAGCAUCCCGAGCCAGGAGCUCAGGGGCCAGGCAGGAGGGUCCUGCUGGCUGGAUGUGGCCCACGGGCCAUAGUUUGCCCACCUCUGGACUAAUAGAUUCAGUUUCAAGCACUAAGGUGUCAGAUUCCCUACUUAUGCUCUGGAUGCACUUGUCUGAUUCCCUGGGGGCACGUUGUGAGGUUUCAGGCCAUGUGGUGCAGUAAAUGCACAUCUUGCCAUUUUCCAAGCUACUAUCAAGAAAACAAAUCAAUGUUAACUAUACUAGAUUUAAAUAUUCUUUCCAUAUUUUUUAACUCACUCUGGCCUGUGUAGUAACAUAGGCACAAUCAGUAUUGUAGUUUUAGAGGUAUAUUGAUGGGUUUAACAGAUGAUGUACCCUCUUGGACUGCAUCAGUUUGAAAAUAAAUGCUUUUGAGACCUCUAAUUCACUUCUGAGGCUGAUGGCCAAUUUGUUAGGGUUGCUUAUAACCUUCAUCUCAACUUUCAGACACCCUGAGUUUCAGAAAGAGGCCACAUCUAUUCUGGUACAUGGCAUCUCUGUUACCAGAAGGAGCCAACAACCCAUUUUAAUCACUAUAAUGCGAAUUCUGUGAAUGGGCAAUCUCAAAAUGUUGGCUUUCAGUAACUGGUGUUCAGCUGGAGCAAACUAUAUAAGAGACGGAUGGUUCUUGAACGUCAUUAAUUGUGACCUGUGUUAGAGUAUUUAGAAAAUGAAAUUUUGCCCUUUCUUAAAUAAAAAUGCUUUAACUAUGAAGUGAUGAAUAUUGGAAAUAUUUUGUAUUUGUUAAAAUGUGUCUCUCACACAGCACAAUGAGAAUUCUCUUUAUACUCAGGUCGAAUAUUUUUCUGGUUAUUUGUUGCUUGGCAACAGCAUAGGGAUUAUUGCCAACUUCUAUACUUGGUAAAUUCCUGAGCAACACUUCCUAAUUUUAGUAUAGAAUGUAAUUACAGGGGCCUAGAGCAUCUCUCCCUCCACCCAUCAGGCUAACACAUAAAGUUAUGGAAAGAGAACUAGAGGGGAAGCUGCCUCUGGGGUCUAGCAAAUCAAUUUAAAAUCCUCCACUACAGGAAUUAUUGGUUGAAAUUGUAUGGAUUGUUCUGCAGGAGGUCAGACUGAAUAAUCACAGUAGUCCCUUCUUGCCUGAAGAUACUAAUCUAAGCAAUUUAUCGUCAUAUGUUGGGAACUCUUCCUUUGGCCUCCUGGGAAGUGAAAUGAAAGAGGACACAGUUGUAAUAUGGCAUGCUCAGUUUGGAAGGAUCUGAUAGUCAACAGCAGUUUGCAAAUACAAAGUUUGAUUGGACCAGCCCUAACUCCCACAGUUGCAUUACUUCUGCACAAAAUGGGAGUGUGCAGAUCAAACUGGGGGGAAACAGAUGGACAACUACUCUACAUGUUGCAGUAGGGUGUUUGGGCUUGUCAGGCCUUAGCUGUGAGAGGAGGCAUUUUGAUCACCCAUCCACAGGCACUAACUCUUCCCUUUUGGCUAUAUGGCAAGAAAACGUGGUGGCUUCGGUUUCUGAGCUGUGGGUCUCACUCAGGGUUUUAAAGUGAAAUAUUGCAGCUGCGGCACUUGGCAUUGAGUUCCAUCAGCAUGGACCUGGUGUGGUUAAACGGGGAGUGAGGCCCAAAGCUUGAGCCUGCUGAAGUUUAAACAAGGGGAAGAGGUGCUGCCAAUGAAUUCAGAAAAUAUCAAACCAUAGAUAAAUGGUGGUCUUUUCCCUGAGUUCCGGUAUUAUGGCUUCUAGCUGGUAAGGAAAAAAUUGGUCUCCAGAAGUAGGUUCAUUCUAUAGGAGAGCUGAAUGAGCAGAGUCAGAAUGCGGACUGCUUUAUGUAUCCAGUGUAUGCUAUUCCUGUCUCAAAACUGCUUCAUAAUGAACCUUUUCCAGCUUCACCACUUUUUGCUGCACUUGACCUUGGAAGGGUCUGAACAAGAAUAAUAGAAGCACUUCAACGAGAGACUGAGGUUCUUUUUAAGGAAAAGCAGCUUGAAAAAUGACAUUUGAUACUUUUGAAUUGGCACCUUGAAGUUCAUGAGAUUUGUUGCUGUUCAAACGCACACUAUUCACAGAGGUUUGGAGAGCAACUGUCGGGAUACCAGUGGAGCAGCCUGGAGUCCUUUUCUCAUCGUUUUACAGAGAUUUGCCUUUGUAGAGGGAAAAUAGCACAGCUGCUUUUUCAGAUAUACUGAGGCAAAUGUAUUGGAAUGAUGAUUGUGCAGACUUAGUUGUACCAACUUCAAGAAAUCUAUUAGUGUUCUGACCACAGGACUCUUUUUUUCUUGCCAGUACUAUAAGCAAAUAGCCGGUUUUUGUCCAGCUUUUCUUGGUUCCUAUUAAAGAUGUGGCACAUUAGGUCAAUACUCCUUUUUAGUUCAACAGUUCUUGAUACUUGCUAGAUCAAUUUUAAAAACCAAUGUUGUGCAAUGUCCUCUCUUUCAUUUAACUUGCUUGUCUGCUCUAAGGCAAAUCAGGCUGUCAGUGUUGAAAACCAAAUUCCCCCUUUAUUUCAGUGGGGCAUUCUACUUAAUAACAUAUGGCAUCUGGCUCAUUGAUUGACGUUGAAACUGCAUGAGACAUUGAAACAGAAGUCCUAAUCUUUACCCAUCUUCAGAGAUAGCAUGUAAUCACUAAGUGACAGUUUUGUAAAAUGGGAUGUGACCCUAAGAACCCCUCAGUGCCACUUGGCAAGGGGGUUACAAGAAUAUCUUAAUCCUGGUAUGUACAUUCUGGUUACCAAAGAAUGUCAUGUGAGGUCUUAAAUGAAAGCCACGGUCAUACCUUUCAUUAAUAUUCUUGUGAAAUGUAUGUUCAGCUACUGUGUAAGGAGUUAAUGCCACUGAAAACGUCUUCCUAAAUUCUGUAUCGGGUGGAGUUGACACAAUGAAAGCCAUAUAUAGAGAGCCAACUGGGGGAUGUGAAGUUCCUCUGGAACUGGGUUUUAGAUCGCAAUUGGAGAUUAGGCAAUUGGGUCUAAAACCUGUGACCACUGCCCCCUGUACUUUGGGGUUGGUGCCUGUUUCUCUGGUCAUGGUGAAGGACCUGUGUUGAUGGUCCACCCUCAAAGAAAAGAUUCCACUAACAGGAUGUUUCCUCAGUGGUUUGGGAGGAAUUGAGAGACUUUUGCCCUCCCCCAUUGAGGAGCUGGCCACCAGGUGCCCUCUUCAGAGGCUUUGCUGUCACAGGUCUCCCUGACUUACAGAUGAUGCGUGACCUCUGGAGCAAGAGGAAGAUGGCUAGAUGGAUGGGGGCUGGAAAUCUCAUGCUGAGACUGAUUGGUUGAGGCAUAGAAAAUUAUUGCAAUUGGCAUUGUGGUUAUGCAGGAAGCACCAAAAAAAAGUCUUUUCCCUUCAUAAUAUGCACUAAAUCUAGGACAGAAGAUGUUUUAGGUUAUAGUGAGUCUGGUCAAUCUGGAUUUUCUCUCCUCGGUAGCUGGACAGAGUCCUCACCAUCCCAAGGAAAUGUCAUAUUUUACAGACAAGGUCAAGCUGAUUAACGGUGAGUUGUCUGCUUCUGUUGUGGCAGAACAAGGUCUUGAGGGGAAAAAGGCCUUAACUAGUCUGCUACAGUUUCAGCCAGCAAUGCUUCCUGAGGUACUGCAGGUGUGAGAACUUCAUCCCACAACCAAUGCUUUGGAUCUGCAUCCUCUCCUAGCUGGUGAAAGCAAGUGGGGAAGUGAUGGGUCCUUAGCUGGUGCAGAGUGUCAUCAAGCAAUGCGUUCUUGAGCACAGACUGCACUAAAUCUUCGUUAUCCGUAGGCAGCCUGCCCUUCGUUAGAGGGAAUGGGUGUGAUUGUAGAGAAAGUUGUAACAAGACAACUCCCUGUUCCUAGGUGCUUCUGAAGUUCUUGACCCUUGUGAAUGUGAAUAAAAGUCCUAGCGUCAGUAGGGAGUCUCAGUUGGCCCAUGUCCUCCCGGCAGAUCCAGUAUUUAUCUUGGUAUAAGAUCUGUUGGAUCCCUUUAAUAUUGUUGAUCACAAAGUUUUGUUGACUCACCUGCUGACCUUGACUGCUUUUGGUUGGCUUUGUUCUUUCGUUUGAGAGAACACUGGGUAGCUGUGUGGAAUAGCUUCUCUUCCUGAAAAGCUGUCUGGUGUGGGACAUAACAGGGUGUUGUUUCGUUACUCUCCUGUUCAGCAUGCACAUGGGGCCCGGAGAAGAGUUCAUAAGGAGGUAUUGGUUGUGGUGUGUUUCAGAGUGCUGAUGACACCCAAAUGUGCACUUCUCAUCCACUCAUCCAGUUUGAAGAAGGAUGCAGCUCAGCAUCUCAGACAAUCUCAAAUUGAGAUUGGGGCAUGGAUGCGAGUGUGCUGGCUAUAACUCAACCCAGACAAGGUGGAGGGGAUGUUGGGGAAAACAGCCUCAGAAGAUAGCCAAGAUAAUAUCACUUGUUCUGAAGGAGUGUCUGCCAUUGGUCACCAGAGUUUGCAACUUAGAGCAGGUCCACACUACAGCCGGGAUUGACACACUGAGAUCGAUCUACUGGCGGUUGAUUUAGCAGGUCUAGUAAAGACUGCAGAUCACUCUCCAGUUGACCCCUGUACUCUACCCCAGAGAAGAGUAAGGCUCCCAUCAACCCCCCUGCAGUGUACGCCCUGUGGUAACUCGACCUAAGGUACAUUGACUCCAGCUAUGUUAUUCACGUAGCUGGAGUUGCGUAGCAUAGGUUGACUUAGAGGUAGUGUAGACAUAGCCUUUGUAGUGCUUUUUGCACCCCAGCUGUGCUACUGGACGAUCAUAUUACAGCUGUAACCCUGUCAUCUUUUUUAUCAUCUGCACUUGGCCACGAGGUUGUGACCUUUCUGUUUAGAUGCAACCUUGCCACUGUUGUUCACCCCUUUAGCGCCUCAAGGUUAAACUAUCGCAAUGUGGUCUACCUGUGGUGAACCGGACUGCCAUUUUUGGAGACAAAAGCCUGUGCAGAAAGUGGUGCAUCUCUUAGUGAGGAGAGCAUCUCCCAGAGAACAAAUGAUGCCCGGGUGCCAGGGUCUGUGCUGGCUCCUUAUUGGUCUCCAGGUGGAAUUUAAAGGGAUGUUUUCCCUAAAAAGCUCUAAACAGCAUGGGACCACCAACCUGAGACCACUUUCUUUGCCAUACUGCAACAGCUGAGGUGAAUGGGAGUGCUCAAACUGGACGCCCUUCUUAAUUAAAAAAAGGGAGUGGGCUGCUAGCAGGACAUUCUCUAUGAGGGCCUUGGGUCCCCUCUUUGAUCUGAAGUAGGCAUGCUGCAAAAGCCAUUUAUUUGGUAGGGUGUUUGGGGAAGGUUGAGGGUCUGUUCCCAGAUGUGGUAAUGGGAUGGGAAGGCAUUAGAAUUACUGGAUUGGCAAAUCUGAUUUGUUACCCUUAGUUCAAUGCUGCUUGUGAGCUCAGUUUACUCACAACUUGUUAAUGUUGCUGGGCAAGGCUGGAUUAAGGCAUGGACACACUAGGCGCGUGCCUAGGGCUCUGGCUUCUGGAAACAUGAGAUGACCUCAGAAUCUCCACCUGCUUUAAAAACAAACUUCCUACCUCGUAUGCUUUUGAAGUAAAGCUUGAAAACAUGACUAAGUGUAACCAAAUCUGCGGAGAACCUGGAACAGUAGACUGGAGAUGUAUGAACAGCUCCAUGUACCUUGAUGGGAUGUUAAGUCCAUGACCCACUGCUGUGGGGUCUUUGCCAACCCUGCCCAGCACAGGUCUCUGCAAGGCAGGAAAGGAAGAGCCCUGCACUCCUGUGCCCCCAUCCAAGCAGACACACCCUGGCUGCUGAGGUACAUAAUAGGCCCGUCUGUCUGCCAACCCUGCUGCUCCAAGGGGACCUCUGUUGCUGCUUCUGAUCAAUGGGAGUCCCUACUGCCAAUCCUGUCGGGGAGGACGGGGCCCAUACAGCUGCCCUUGCCUCUUGGGAAGGAAUGGGGGGACCCAGGAUAUUGCCACUUCAAGUACCAAUUGGGGCCCUGGUGCAAGGGUUGAAACCCUAUAGGUCCCAUGCUGCAGUGUGCCUGGGGACCCCGGAUUGCCCUCAUUGGGCUCUGCUCCUGGGUGGCCAUUUUGAUGUUCGGGUGACUAGAGCUGUUGGUGUCGGUGGGUUCAAAGUUAAACCAAUACCAUGAAUUGAAUGAAGUAGCUGAAUUCUGUUAUAAAACUUCUUGUGUAACUUCAUACUGCUGGUAGAAUUAUUCUUGUUACUAAAUGUCAUCCGUGUGGUGUUGCAAUCAGGCAGCCUUUAUGCAGGGGUGGGAGGGGUUAUUGUCCCCCUGCUAUUCAUGUCCUCGUUAAAUCAAAUACUGGACAAGAGUAUUGAAGACUUCCCAGCAAGAGAUUUGAUUGUAAGCAGGAUUCUUCUGCUUGUGCCUCUAAUGAGGACAUUCUGAAAUUGGCUAGUUUAUUUCCACCUUCUUUUGUAAGUGUAAAAAAAAAAAAAUCCCUUCCACUGUUUCCCAAUCCAGUUCCUACCAAUGCCCAUGAGACUGCAGCCAAAGAAGCCAAACCUUAAGUUUCCCAUUGGCUCAGAACCUAUCAAGUAGCAGACCACCAGUGCAAGCAAAUAUGAACAUACCAGCAGGGAGACUGCAGUAUAGUGCACUUUAUAGGAACAUAGUUGAGGUGAUAUGCGUCUUUCCUGACUAUGAGCGAUGGUAAAUGGGUACAGAAUUGUGUGGCUUGCAAAACACAUGCAGCAGGUGAGUUAAGUGAGAUAACAGGACUACACUGUAAAGGAAGCAAUACUGUCCUCUAUGCUGCUAUUCAGCUAGCAAGAAGAAUGUUUCAAGGGAUGUCCCUUUAAGAGGAUGGAAUGUUUAAGCCAGAAGGUUCUAUGCAGUCUGGUUUGGGCAGAUAGAGAGCUGAGGAAAGUGCUGUGAGAAGCAUAAUGACCCUUCAGAAGGGUGUCGGGCGUUAUACACAUAAAGAACUGUCAAAGGAGCAAGAGGGAAAAGCAAAUUAUAGAAGGUGAAAGUGAGGUGAAGAACAGGGACAGAGCGAAACAAGAAAAUAGCAGUAGGGAGGAAGUGGUUGCUGUUCAGGAAGGUUUUCAUCUUGGUUCUCCUAGUGGGCAGGGCCAAGGGAAGAGCUCUUAAAAACCAUUGCUGCAUGUAGGCAAAAAUUAAGUUUGAACAAAAAAUGGCAGCAUUUUGUGAUGCUCUAGUCCUGAGAAAUAAGUUACCUAGACUGGAUGCCCUCGUCAGAUACAGGUAAACCAAAACCAGUGCCUACCAGGUUGAUUUUCUUCGAGAUAGGCUCAAUGAGACAGACAACAAGCAUUAGCUUUAAAGUGAACGCUGAGAUCUGGCAGGCUUACUCGUGUGGACUGGUGUUUUCAUCGGAUUGAUUUUUAUUAACUUUUUUAGAAGUACCUAUUCAAGGAGUAUCCUACAUGUUAGUGCUACUUCCAGCAGACCAUCUACUUUCCUAACAGAGGGCCCAGCAAUCGAUUGUAUCGGAGAUGUGUACGUAUGACGCAAACUACAAAACCAAUAUUGUGUGGUGCACAUUUUCAGUGUUCUGCACAUAAGGAAGGGAUCAUUGUUGGCUGACACAGGAUGGAGAGAAGCUAUUAAAGUGCCAUGUUUGAGAGAGGAAAUAACCUAUUUUUCCUGGAUUUUUCAUUUUCUAGCUCUCACACUCAAACCACUGGCAGUGUCUGCAACCUUAACUUUGCCUUAAUGUCUUUUGUUGUGUAGUUGUAUUGGUGUGGUCUCCAAGUACCAUUGUGAGAUAGCCAAGAGGCACUUUACCCUUCUCUGCUUAACAGCAUAUAGCAAUACUACAUGAUUGUUUAGGACAGGCACUAGAGAAAUAUACUGUGUCAGGCUGAAACCAUAAGGGGAAGGCAGCAGAAUAAUUACAGUACCAGAAGUUGGAAUUCAGAUAGGGAGCCAAGGUUAAUCAUAGAAAUGUAGGGCUGGAAGGGACCUCAAUAGAUUGUCUAUUCCAUCCCCUGAGGCAGAUCCAGGUAAACCUAGAUUGUAUCUGACAGGAGUUUGUCUAACCUGUUCUUACAAACCUCUAGUGAUGGUGAUUCCACAAUCUUGAUUGGAAACCUAUUCCAGAGUUUAACUACACUUAGAGUUUUUUUCCUAAUAUUUAACAUUAAUCUCCUUUGCUGAAGAUUAAGCUGAUUACUUCUUGACCUACCUUCAGUGGUCAUGAAGAACAAUCAACCAAAUUUUUAUAACAGCCCUUAACAUAUUUGAAGACUUACCAGGUCCUCCCUCAGUCUUCCUUUUGAAAACUAAACAGUUUUCUUAAGCUUUCCCUGAAAGGUCUUUUUUCAAACCUUUCAUCAUUUUUGUUGCUCUCCUCUGGACUCUCUCCAAUUGUCCACAUCUUUCCUAAAGUGUGGCGCCCAAAACUGAACAUAUGACUCCAACUGAGGCAUCACCAAUGCUGAAUAGAGUGGGAUAAUUACCUUCCCUUUUACAUACAACACUCCAGUUAAUCCAGGAGGAGUUAAUCCUUUUAAUACACCCCAGAAUAUUAGUCGUUUUUGCAACUGCAUCACGUUGUUGAUUCAAUUAGUUUGCUUGUGCGAAUGUCAUGUGGGACUGUGUCAAAAGCCUUACUAAAAUCAAGAUGCAUCCACAUCUACAGCUUCCCCCAUCCACUAAGCCAGUAACCCUGUCAAAAAGAGGAAAUUAACCUUUUUAGUGAAGACUGAAGCAAAAUAGGCAUUAAACACUUCAGCCUUCUUGAUGUCGUCAUCAGCUAUUAGCUCUCCUUCCCCGCUCAGUAGAGGACCACACUUUUCUUUGCCUUUUUCUUGCUCUUCUUACUACCUUUCACGUCCCUUGCUAGGUGUAACUCAUUUUGUGCCUUAGCCUGUCUGAUUUUGUCCCUACGUGCUUGUGCUUUUCUUUUAUACUCAUCCUUGCCAAUUUGUCCAUGUUUCCACUUUUUGUAGGAUUCUUCUUUGAUUUUCAGGUUACUAAAGAGCUCCUGGUGGAGCCAUAUUGGCCUCUUCCUAUCUUUCCUUUGCAUCGGGAUACUUUUGUUGUUGUGCCUUUAAUAUGGUCUCUGAGAAACUGCCAGCUCUCAAACUCUUUUUCCCUUAGAUUUUCUUCCCUUGGGACUAUAUCUACCAGUUCUGAGUUUGUUAGAGACUGCUUUUUUGAAGUCCAUUGUUCUUAUUCUGUAGCUCACUCCUUUUCUGUAACUGGCUUCAGAAAAGAAUUAGAUAAGUUCAUGGAAGAUAGCCAUUGAUGGACCUAUUAGCCAAGAUAGUCAGGGAAGCAACUGCAUGCUCUGCAUGUCUGUGAUCCCCAUUGAGUCAUAAUUUAUGUAUUAACACUUCCAGUUUUUCCUGUUUUUUUCCCCCAUACUCCUUGCAUUUGCAUAUAGACAUCUAUGGUGAGCGGAUUCCCCCAGUGAUUUACUACUUGUUCCUAUGACACUACUGUAGUUUUCCAUUCCCUCACAACAGAAAGUCCUCUAUCACCUUAUUUUUUUAUACCUACCUAUUGCCUUUUGUCACCUGCCCCUUUGGAACCUAGUUUAAAGCCCUCUUCACUAGUUUGAUGAGUUUGUGUCCAAAGAUACUCUCUGUUCUUGGUCACGCGGACCCCAUCUCUUCCCUAGAGCAGCAUCACAUGGUCAAGGAAGCCAAAGCCCUCGCAUAGACACCAUCUAGAGAGGGUCCAGACUUAUCAUCCACCUUCAGCAGCAGAGUGCCCUACCAAUACCUUUCAGAGAUAUGGGAUCAGGACAGAUACAGGAAGAGCAAUAUCAACUGCUGAACGACCAGCAUUUCUUCCUGAAGUACUUGGAAGCCUUCAAUAUAAGUGCUAACCCACCUUAAUGCUGGAGUGUUUGGAAGAACUGAUGUGGUCACAGCACAAAAUGGUAUAGCUAGAGAACAUGCAUGGUGUAAACGAGUUAUUUAAAGACUACAGUUUUGAUAAUACAAUUUUAGAUUAGCAAUGUGAAAUCACUCAAUUUCCAGUAAAUGUGCUCAUUUGUAUGGAGUGCAGCAAAUGUAGAUUAUCUGAAACAAAGGCCCUGAGAUCACAUAGUGUUCCUAUUUGUUUGAUGCAAAGCAUUAUAUAAUUCAUUUCUGUAUGCGACUGAAAAAUGCUCUUAAGUAUAAAGGAAACUUGGCUUCUCUGUUAAUGUUUUACAUGCUGCUGAAUGUUUAAAUAAAAAUACUCUUCAUUGGUUGUUAA